rnacentral:misc_RNA from 1 species
AAGUCGUAACAAGGUUUCCGUAGGUGAACCUGCGGAAGGAUCAUUAACACGUAUCCAAACGUUAAAACCCCCAGUCAGUGUCGGAAAGUGUCAUUGAUUGUGCAAGGAUAGCGCUUCUACAAUUCCUGUAGACCGUACACUCGGGCAGGAGCUUGGCCAAAGGGUCCCCAUGCCCCCUAAUAACCCCACAGUUUAAUGUGAAGCUCAAUGUAAUACAUUGGGUAAAAAAACCGAACAACUGUUAACAAUGAAUAUCUUGGUUCUC